rnacentral:lncRNA from 12 species
GUCCAAUCCCCCUGGAAAUCAUUGUUGGCUCACUCCGUGCUCUCUCCCGUUUCCCCUCCCUCAGUCCCUCCUCACCAACACGCCUCUUAAGCGCUUCUGAAGAUCUGAGAUGUUGCUGGGUUUAAGGAGGAAGCCUGCCCUCCGGGCCACCGACUCCCGGUGGUGGUGGCCGCAGCCGCGCGCAGGACUGCACCGUCGGAACCGAGCACUGAGGUCUUCCCCCACCUGGCCCAGGGAUUUGGAAAUGAGGCAGCUCCAGUUCCCUCCAGACUUACGCACAGUCGCCUCUAAGCCUUCACCAAUCAGGCUGUGA